ACUAUCGUUAAGUGAAUACAUAGCUUAACGAAGCGAACCGGGGGAACUGAAACAUCUAAGUACCCCGAGGAAAAGAAAUCAACCGAGAUUCCCCCAGUAGCGGCGAGCGAACGGGGAGGAGCCCAGAGUCUGAAUCAGCGCGUGUGUUAGUGGAACGGUCUGGAAAGUCCGGCGGUACAGGGUGAUAGCCCCGUACACUAAAAUGCACACGUUGUGAACUCGAAGAGUAGGGCGGGACACGUGGUAUCCUGUCUGAAUAUGGGGGGACCAUCCUCCAAGGCUAAAUACUCCUGACUGACCGAUAGUGAACCAGUACCGUGAGGGAAAGGCGAAAAGAACCCCGGCGAGGGGAGUGAAAAAGAACCUGAAACCGUGUACGUACAAGCAGUGGGAGCCUACUUGUUAGGUGACUGCGUACCUUUUGUAUAAUGGGUCAGCGACUUAUAUUCUGUAGCAAGGUUAACCGUAUAGGGGAGCCGCAGGGAAACCGAGUCUUAACUGGGCGUUAAGUUGCAGGGUAUAGACCCGAAACCCGGUGAUCUAGCCAUGGGCAGGUUGAAGGUUGGGUAACACUAACUGGAGGACCGAACCGACUAAUGUUGAAAAAUUAGCGGAUGACUUGUGGCUGGGGGUGAAAGGCCAAUCAAACCGGGAGAUAGCUGGUUCUCCCCGAAAGCU
rnacentral:rRNA from 1 species